CCCAAAUCUCCAAUGCCUAUUCUUGUAUGCUUAUAGAGGAGUUGAGUCUCCAAUAUGGCUUCCUUCCCUUAUAAAUUUGGUGAAGCUUGAAUUAUUUUCCUACAGAAACAUCAAACAUCUCCCUCCAUUUGAUCACUUUAAUUCUCUUCAGAUUUUGAAAAUUCGAGAAUUAGCUAAUCUGGAGUACAUAGAUACUGAUGAAAAUUCCAAUGAUUAAGCAUUUCCUUGCCUAAAGUGGCUUGAUCUAUUUAAGUGCCCUAAUUUAGAGGGAUGGAAGAGAUGUAGCAGCAGGAAUGAUGCAGCAACACCCACUUCAUCAUUGUCUUUGUCAUCAAUAGGAAAGAUGCCCUGGUUUAUUUCUCUUUCGAAGCUGUCGAUCUCUCAUUGCCCUAACUUGAUUUCGAUGCCAACUUUUACAUCCAUUGAAGAACUUGAUCAAUAUGAAGCCAGUAUCAAGCCAUUAGAGUGGACAUUGAAGAUGUGGAUUCCAAUAUCAGAAUCUACCCCUUCUUCUUCUUCUUCUUCUUCUUCUUCUUCAAUUCCCUAUGCUCUCUCUCAAUUGAAAAAGAUUGAAAUGUCCGAGAUUGUGGAUCCAGAAUUUCUGCCAAAAGAGUUGUUAGAAUGUCUCGGCUCUCGCCAAGAUCUUAAAAUUGUUUAUCAUUGACCAUGUUAAAGUCUCUGCUUGUAGUUUACUUUCAAGGAGAGGGGAAAGUAACAUAGGGAGGACUGGCUCGAAACUGCUCACAUCCCAAAUGUAGUCUCCAGGGUUUUCCCAGAUUGCAUCUCUAGAUUAGACAAGAAUCUGGUUCCAGAAGCUCUUCACAUCACCAAAAGAAGUCUCUCUGCUUUUUCAAGGGGUACAUAAUUAGAUCUUCAAACUACUCUUUUUUAGAAACUCCUGCUGGUUCUUUUAUUCAAGUGCAAUUAUUCUAAUGUGUUUCUAUAUAGAUGUUGCAGGUUAAUCAAUAAUUUGGAUUUUUCUUAACGAUAAUGUUAAUCCUAGUGAGUGUCGCCAGACUGAUAAUUAAGGGAAAAUGAAAUAGAGAUGGAAUUUUUAUCACCAGGCUGGAAAAAUCUUGCAAGGCUCAUUUUUAUGUCUCAUAACAGUUUUCCUUGGAGGUCUGUCACCCUGAUUAGGAUGAAAUUCCUAAUGUUGCAGGUUAAUCAACAAUUUGGAUUUGUCUUAGCACGAAUGUUAAGCGUAGGACUAUUACUCUUUCUGUGCUGAUAAUUAAGGGAAAAUGAAAUGGAAGUGGAAUUUUGUAUCACCAGCUGGAAAAAUAUUGCAAGGCUCAUUUUUAUGUCUCAUAACACUUUUCAUUGGAGGUUGAAAGAGAUGAGACUCUCUAGUCUGUAACCAUGAUUAGGGGUGAACUUCCCACUUGCUGCCACUCUUCAACAGCUUGGGAUUGUAGAAUAUCAGUAUUGGUAGUUUUCUAGCCUUGCCAGAGUGCAAGCAUAACCAGCUAAUUCAGAUAAAUACAAUGCCUUCAUAAUUGUCGUGCAAUUAAAGGAUGGGUCAGGUGGCAGUUGAUAAAGCUUCUUUUUGCUGCACCUUUGGAUCUCCCCUUAAUGCUUCGAUGCUUCUCCAAUUGCAUUAGUUUGUGGUGAUUUUAUUUACACGACCUUCACCGUUCAUGCCUCUGUUCGUGGGUCCUUCGGGUCUGUCCUAGUUCUUAAAAUGGGUUGCUGUUUGAGUUGGGUUCUUUUGCUGCCUAUUUUCGGUUUGUAGGUACCCCUUUCAUUGUUGCAGAUUUGGGGUUUGGAGGCUUUUGUGUGUGACCUUCCUACAAAUUUUGCUGCAGAUUGCUGCAGCCCUAGCUUGGUUCUGCAGAUGCUUACACCUUUAAAUUUUCUUCUGCUGGCAUUUUUUUGGUUUUGUUACCUGCAUUUUUGUUUAGUUGAAUUUUGUAAUGCAACUUCAUUGUUGUCUUGUUAGUUUGUUUUGUACCUUUCCCUCCAGUUUUUUUCACUUAGCAUGCUAUUGCCUAGGUUGGAUGUAAAGGGGAUGCCUAUCGGCUG